UGGGCUGUAGCUCAGCUGGGAGAGCACCUGCUUUGCAAGCAGGGGGUCAGCGGUUCGAUCCCGCUCAGCUCCACCA
rnacentral:tRNA from 1 species